CUUGAGCUGCAACAGAUUUCCACAACGAUUUUCACGUUGUUAACAACCUUAUUAUAAUGACAAAAUGAAACAUUUCUUCACAUACUAUUGUUAUUUAACACUGUAAAUUACAGUAAUUAGUGGUUUGGGAUGCAUUUAAAAAAACGGAGGUAUUAACCAAUGGGUAGCAGUAACUUUGCUCUGUGUUACAAAGGUCACUCAAAUCAGGAACUAACAUAUGCUGUCAUUUGUCUCAACCACUAUUGCGGCUAUAAGGAUCCUGUCAGCAAUGGAAGGCUAAGGAAGGAAAACGGAUCACAGCGCCACCAUACAUGACUUCCUGAAGCAAAAUGGGCGACGUCAUACCAGGAAAGCCAUGUGAUUUUUUUGUAACCUCAUUGUUUUGAAGCAGGGAUAAAAUUGAUACUCCGUGCUCACUGCUCAAGCCUGCCAGUGGAGGGUCUUUAGCCAAUGGGAUUGCUCAGGUGAAGUGACAUCAUCUCCCAAAUCCGUGGUGUGACUGGAGUGUGCAUCAUCACAGUGCUUUGUGAAUAGUUAAUGAGAACACUGGCCAGGGACCAAUCAGGACUCAGGACAGAGAUUACUCCAGGGACUGGCUUAAGAAAUCAAUAAUGCACACACGCACACACACACACACACACACACAGGGCCUGAGCAAAUUGACUGUCUCUGCUCUGAACAGGCUGCUAUAGUAGCACAAAUACAACCAACCCUCUGAACACCUGUCAAAGAUACACGGCUGGUAAACAAGCCUAGCACAUGGCUGGCUAAAUGGAUGAUGUCACCUUUUUGAUUACAUUGCUUUUAGAAUAGUUUGAAAUUGCUUUUAGAUUAGUUUGAGAGAGAGAUUUGUUCGAGAGAAAUAUCUUCGGUCAUCAUCAUGGCCAUGUGUAUUCCCCCUCAAGCCGACACCUCGGCGGCUUUCAAGGAACUACAGUGUUCAAACUGGAAACCGCAUAUCCUGAGGCCGCAUGUAUUGUAGCUGGGGAAUUUUAAUAAAGCAAAUUGGAGGAAAAUGCUACUGAAGUUUAUCAACAAAUCUCCUUCGCUACACGCUCGUCGAGUACUCUUGACCAUUGCUACUCCCCUUCGGCAAAUCAGAUCACGCCUCUAUUCUGCUCCUCCCCUCCUAUCUCUUCCUAUCCCAGUCUGUUGUCCAUUUUUCCUGUGCCCAAGAAAGCGAAGGUAACUGAAAAAAAUGAACAUCGCCCCAUAGUACUCAUUUCUGUCAUCAUGGCUAGAUAAGGAUCAUAUCACCUCCACCUUACCCGAUACCCUAGAUCCACUACAAUUUGCAUACCGCUCCAACAGAUCCACGGAUGACACAUUCGUCAUCGCACUGCACACUGCCCUAUCCCAUCUGGAAAAGAGGAAUACCUAUGUAAGUAUGCUGGUCAUCGACUACAGCUCAGCCUUCAUCACCAUGACCGUCCGAGCUCACCACUAAGCUCAGGGCCCUGGGUCUGGACCCCUCCCUGUGAAAUUGGGUUCUGGACUUCCUAACGGACCGACCCCAGGUGGUGAAGGUAGGCAACAACACGUCCGUUACGCUGAUCCUCAAUACGGGGGCCCCACAAGGGUGCAGGCUCAGCCCCCUCUUGUACUCCAUGUUCACCCAUGACUGCAUGGCCACGCACGUCUCCAACUCAAUCAUCAAGUUUGCAGAUGACACUACAGUGGUAGGCUUGUAUACCAACAACGAUGAGACAGCCUACAGGGAGGAGGUGAGGGCCUUGGCGGAGUCGUGCCAGGAAUAUAACUUCUCCCUCAACGUCCAAAAAAUGAAGUACCUGAUCAUCGACUUCAGGAGACAGAAGAGAGAGCACGCCCCCAUCCACAUUGACGGAACGAAAAGCUUCAAGUUGCUCGGCGUGCAAAUCAUUGACAACCUGAAAUGGACCAUCCACACAACGUGGUGUAGAAGGCGCAACAGGACCUCUUCAACCACAGGAGGCUGAAGGAAUUCAGUUUGGCCCUUAAGACCCUCACAAACUUCUACAGACGCACCAUUGAGAGCAUCCUGUCGGGCUGUAUCACCGCCUGGUAUGGCAGUUGCACCGUCCGCAACCACAGGGCUCUCCAAAGGUUGGUGCGGUCAGCCCAAUGCAUCACCGGGGGCACACUGCCUGCCUUCCAGGAGAUCUACAGCACCCAGUGUCACAGGAAGGCCAAGAUCACCAAGCACCUGAGCCAUCCGAGCCACGGCCUGUUCACCCUGAAACCAUCUCAAAGGCGGAAACGGUACAGGUGCAUCAAAGCUGGGACUGAGAGACUGAAAGACCAUCAGUCUGUUAAAUAGUCACCACUGCCCAGUACCCUGCCCUGAACUUAGUCACCGUUACUAGCCGGCUACCACCCGGUACUCUACCCUGCGCCUUAAAGACUGCUGCCCUAUGUACAUACAGAAUCAUUGAACACGGAUCACUUUAAUCAUGUUUACAUACUGUUAUACCAACUUCUAGUCAUGGCGUAUCCUAUAUACCUACUGCUGUACACACCUUUUCUAUUCAUAUACUGUCCAUAACACAUAAUAUUUCUUCUGAUAUUCAUUCAGAUAUUUCUUCAUUUCUUUCUUUUUAUUUCUUGGAUUUGUGUGUAUUGUUAGGUAUUACUGCACUGUUGAAGCUAGAAACAUAAGCAUUUCGCUGCACCUGCGCUAACAUCUGCAAAUGAUGUGUACGCAUCCAAUAUAAUGUGAUUUGAAAUACUUCUAUGAAUUAAUUAUAAAGCUACGGUAGCCUACAGUUGAAGUUGGGAACAACUUCUGUAUGCAUAUGGGAUAGAAUAAAUAGCCUAUUUCACUUGAAACCACAGUCUCAGGAGAGGCUUGUGAUACUGUAAUAAAGGUUGUUAUUGUUACGGGUUUGAUAACCUGUGAGGGGGAAUAGAGGUGAGCUAAGCCUUUUGACAGGGAAGGUUCUGGUGAUUCACUGCCAGUUGUGAUGACUCACCCUUAAUUGCUGAAGAAGCAGACAUUUAAGCUUGAGGGAUUUAAGUUAAGUAGAACAGAUAUUCAAUAGUAGUCCACUAAUGAUAAAACACUAUAGACUGUUACAAAAGUGUAAUAAACAAUAUGUUUUAUUAUUUGUGUGAAUUGAGUCACAUUCACAUUUUCACUAAUGUACUACACAUAUUUCAUUUCAAUAUAUCUACUACCCAAUACCAGAAUGUAUUAGUUUGCAGAACCAAAUAGGCUUGAAAGUAGUCUGAGGACAGGAAGAUAAUGACCUCGCUCUUUCUAGAAUAUGCUCUGUCAUAACAUGCUAUUGCUGUUAAGCGGAGCAGCACAGGGGAACCCAAAGAGCAGACUCAGACCAGGAAACAGGGAUGAACCAAUAUAUUUAUUGUAACACAGGGAGAGAUGAAGUGCAGAUCCAGGGAAGCUUGGAUGAGUUGUAGGAAACCAGAUGUGGAGGCUGAGGUUGGAGUGAGCUGGGGUUGGGACAGGGUAAACAGGUUCAAGGGAGUGUUGAUGAGUUGAUUCCAGAACAGGGUAGCAGGGUGGUGAGAUGUGGAACAGAAGACAGGAACCAGAGUCAGAGCGGCAAAACUGCAGUGAGAGGAGAAACAGUGUCAGGCAAGGAAAUAGGCACAGCAGGAUACAGGAUCUUAAAUAACAACACAUAGCUAGACGCAUGACUGACUGAAUGGAGAUUAGGAUCUGGCAGAGUGGAAGUGGCAGGACAGAGUAUUUGUAGAGGUCUUGAUUAUGGAAUGGGUUGCAGCUGGUGGGGAACGUCUCUGACUCCAGCACACCUGUCUCAUACUACACAAUCACACACACAGAGGGAGAGGGAGAGAACUGGGAGAAUGGCUGCAGGUCAAGGAGACACCGGAUGUCCACUAGGGGGUGUAGAACUCCCCUCUGUGUGUGUGACACUCCCCUCUGUAAUUAUUUGGACAGUGAGGCUCUAUACUGGUUUCAUAUGAGGUGAUAGUACAGAAUGUCACCUUAAAGUUCAGGUUAUUUUCAUACAUAUCUGUUUUACUGUUUAGAAAUGAAAGCACUUUAUGGAUCUAGUCCCGCUAUUUGAAGAACUAUUUGGACAAAUUCACAUAUUUCAUUACAGUAGUCAAAAGUUUUGUAUUUGAUCCCAUAUUUCUAGCACAAAAUGACUACAUCAAACUUGUUGGAUGCAUUUGCAGUUUGUUUUGGAUGAGUUUCGGAUUACGCUUUGCCAAUAGGAACUGAAUGGUGAAUAAUGUAUUGUGUUAUUUUGGAGACACUUUAAUUGUCAAUAAGAAUAGAAGAUGUUUCUGGACACUUCUACAUUAAUGUGGAUGCUACCAUAAUUAUCAAUAAUCAUGAAGGAAUUCUGAAUAAUAAUGAUGGAUAUGAUCAUUGUUCCUCUGUAACUUUAUCACUCAUCAUUAUUCACAAUUCAUUCAUGAUUAAUAAUCAUGGUAGCAUUCAGAAACAUCUUUUAUUCUUAUUUACAAUAAAAUUGACUCCAAAAUGACACAAUACAAUAUUCACCAUUCAGUUCCUAUUGGUUCCAACAUAAGCCGAAACACAACCAAAACAAACUGCAAAUUCAUAUAACAAGUUUGUAGAGUCACAAGUUUGAUGUAGUCAUUGCGUUCUAGGAAUAUGGGACCAAAUACUUAGCGGACUAAACUCCAUGGUGAAGGAAGUUUAAUGAGGAACUUCACUAACGGCAUGGAGCCGAGACCAGGCUUUGUGGAAUCUAUUUAUUUAUAUAUUACAUUUUUUAAAUUUAACCAGGCAAGUCAGUUAAGAACAAAUUCUUAUUUACAAUGACAGCCUACCCCGGUCAAACCCGGACAACGCUGGGCCAAUUGUGUGCUACCCUAUGGGAUUCCCAAUCACGGCCGGAUGUUAUACAGCCUGGAUUCGAACCAGAAACUGUAGUGACGCCUCUUGCACUGAGAUGCAGUGCCUUAGACCGCUGUGCCACUAUCUAUCUCCUACACAUAAAAUGUUUUAAAUGAUGAAACUCCUACCUUGUACUUAUGAUUGUCCUCUGUAUCUGUGUGCCUUUCUUUGUUUGAUCAAAUUCAUACUUUCUCAAUAAACAUGAAUCAAAUACAA